UACGGGGGGGGCAAGCGUUGUUCGGAAUUACUGGGCGUAAAGGGCUCGUAGGUGGCCAACUAAGUCAGACGUGAAAUCCCUCGGCUUAACCGGGGAACUGCGUCUGAUACUGGAUGGCUUGAGUUUGGGAGAGGGAUGCGGAAUUCCAGGUGUAGCGGUGAAAUGCGUAGAUAUCUGGAGGAACACCGGUGGUGAAGGCGGCAUCCUGGACCAACACUGACACUGAGGAGCGAAAGCCAGGGGAGCAAACGGG
rnacentral:rRNA from 1 species